rnacentral:rRNA from 1 species
AGCAGCCGCGGUAAUUCCAGCUCCAAUAGCGUAUAUUAAAGUUGUUGCAGUUAAAAGCUCGUAGUUGAAUUUCGGGGUCAGUAGGUCGGUCGUGCCACUGGUAUGAACUGGUUUUACUGAUUCCUCCCUCUUGAAGAACUGUAAUGCCAUUAAUUUGGUGUUGCAGGGAAUCAGGACUGUUACUUUGAAAAAUUAGAGUGUUUAAAGCAGGCUUUAGCUUGAAUACAUUAGCAUGGAAUAAUGAAAUAGGACGUUUGAUCCUAUUUUGUUGGUUUCUAGGAUUGACGUAAUGAUUAAUAGGGAUAGUUGGGGGCAUUAGUAUUCAAUUGUCAGAGGUGAAAUUCUUGGAUUUAUUGAAGACUAACUACUGCGAAAGCAUUUGCCAAGGAUGUUUUCAUUAAUCAAGAACGAAAGUUAGGGGAUCGAAGACGAUCAGAUACCGUCGUAGUCUUAACCAUAAACUAUGCCGACUAGGGAUCGGAUGAUGUUAAUUUUUAAUGUACUCAUUCGGCGCCUUAAC